AUGCUACUCCCUCCGUCCGGAAAUACUUGUCGAAGAAAUACAUAAAAAUGGAUGCAUCUAAAACUAAAAUACAUCUAGAUACAUCCAUUUCUCCGACGAGUAUUUCCGGACGGAGGGAGUACAAA
rnacentral:pre_miRNA from 1 species